rnacentral:misc_RNA from 1 species
AACAAGGCGUACCUGCGGACCUGCGGAGGGAUCAUUACAGAGUGUAAAAACUCCCAAAACCCAUGUGAACAUACCUUUUUGUUGCUUCGGCGGGAUCGCCCCGGGCGCCUUGUGUGCCCCGGAGUCAGGCGCCCGCCGGGGGACCCAAACUCUUGUUUUUAACGAGUAUCUUCUGAGUAACGUUUUUAAAUAAAUAAAAACUUUUAGCAAUGGAUCU